rnacentral:rRNA from 1 species
AUUGAACGCUGGCGGCAGGCCUAACACAUGCAAGUCGAGCGGGGUUUUCGGACCUAGCGGCGGACGGGUGAGUAAUGCGUAGGAAGCUACCCGAUAGAGGGGGAUACCAGUUGGAAACGACUGUUAAUACCGCAUAAUGUCUGCGGACCAGAGUGUGGGACCUUCGGGCCACAUGCUAUCGGAUGCGCCUACGUGGGAUUAGCUAGUUGGUGGGGUAAUGGCUCACCAAGGCGACGAUCCCUAGCUGGUUUGAGAGGAUGAUCAGCCACACUGGAACUGAGACACGGUCCAGACUCCUACGGGAGGCAGCAGUGGGGAAUAUUGGACAAUGGGCGCAAGCCUGAUCCAGCCAUGCCGCGUGUGUGAAGAAGGCCUUCGGGUUGUAAAGCACUUUCAGCGAGGAGGAAGGGGUGUGUGUUAAUAGUACACACCUUUGACGUUACUCGCAGAAGAAGCACCGGCUAACUCUGUGCCAGCCGCCGCCGUAACAC